GACGAACGCUGGCGGCGUGCCUAAUACAUGCAAGUCGAACGCAGUGGGGACGGGUGAGUAACACGUGGGUAACCUCCCAUCAGAGGGGAUAACACUUGGAAACAGGUGCUAAACCGAUAUUGAUGUAUGGACCCGCGGUGCAUUAGCUAGUUGGUGGGGUAACGGCUCACCAAGGCCACGAUGCGUAGCCGACCUGAGAGGGGGAUCGGCCACACUGGGACUGAGACACGGCCCAGACUCCUACGGGAGGCAGCAGUGGGGAAUCUUCGACAAUGGGCGAAAGUCUGACCGAGCAACGCCGCGUGAGUGAAGAAGGUUUUCGGGUCGUAAAGCUCUGUUGUUAGAGAAGCGGUAUCUAACCAGAAAGCCACGGCUAACUACGUGCCAGCAGCCGCGGUAAUUC
rnacentral:rRNA from 1 species